CCAGCAGCCGCGGUAAUUCCAGCUCCAAUAGCGUAUAUUAAAGUUGUUGCAGUUAAAAAGCUCGUAGUUGAAAGUGUGGGUUCGGGCCAGUGGGGCUGCUUCGAAAGAGGCAGUUUUUUCCUGCUGACGAGCUCAAUUUGUCCUGGAGGGCUCGUUUAGGCAUUUAGUUGUUUGAGCGGUUAGUAGUGCUCCAGGUCGUUUACUUUGAGCAAAUUAGAGUGUUCAAAGCAGGCAUUAUUGCCUUGAAUACCUUAGCAUGGAAUAAUGAAAUAGGACUUGGUUUCUGUUUUGUUGGUUUCUAGAAGCCGAGUAAUGAUUAAUAGGAACAGUUGGGGCCGUUCAUA
rnacentral:rRNA from 1 species